rnacentral:rRNA from 1 species
GAUGAACGCUGGCGGCGUGCCUAAUACAUGCAAGUCGAGCGAACAGACGUGGUGCUUGCUCCUCUGACGUUAUCGGCGGACGGGUGAGUAACACGUGGCUAACCUAUCUAUUAGACUGGGAUAACUUCGGGAAACCGGAGCUAAUACCGGAUAAUAUAUUGAACCGCAUGGUUCAAUAGUUAAAGACGGUUUUGCUGUCACUUAUAGAUGGUUCCGCGCCGCAUUAGCUAGUUGGUAAGGUAACGGCUUACCAAGGCGACGAUGCGUAGCCGACGUGAGAGGGUGAUCGGCCACACUGGAACUGGGACACGGUCAAGACUCCUACGGGAGGCAGCAGUAGGGAAUCGUCCGCAAUGGGCGAAAGCCUGACGGAGCAACGCCGCGGGAGUGAGGAAGGUCUUCGGAUCGUAGAACUCUGUUAUUAGGGAAGAACAAAUGUGUAAGUAACUAUGCACGUCUUGACGGUACCUAAACAGAAAGCCACGGCUAACUACGUG